AACGAACGCUGGCGGCGUGCCUAACACAUGCAAGUCGAACGAGACCUUCGGGUCUAGUGGCGCACGGGUGCGUAACGCGUGGGAACCUGCCUUUAGGUUCGGAAUAACUCAGAGAAAUUUGAGCUAAUACCGGAUAAUGUCUUCGGACCAAAGAUUUAUCGCCUUUAGAUGGGCCCGCGUAAGAUUAGCUAGUUGGUGGGGUAAAGGCCUACCAAGGCGACGAUCUUUAGCUGGUCUGAGAGGAUGAUCAGCCACACUGGGACUGAGACACGGCCCAGACUCCUACGGGAGGCAGCAGUGGGGAAUAUUGGACAAUGGCGAAAGCCUGAUCAGCAAUAGCCGCGUGAGUGAUGAAGGCCUUAGGUUGUAAAGCUCUUUUACCCGAGAUGAUAAUGACAGUAU
rnacentral:rRNA from 1 species